rnacentral:rRNA from 1 species
GUUCGGAAUGAGUACGAUUCGAACCACCUAACGAGGAACGAUCGGAGGGCAAGUCUGGUGCCAGCAGCCGCGGUAAUUCCAGCUCCAAUAGCGUACGUUAAAGUUGCUGCAGUUAAAAAGCUCGUAGUUGAACGUUCGGGUUCCGCGGGACGGGGCCGCCCCGCGAGGGACGGCGCCGCCCCGGGGCUCGUGAUAUCUCAUCUCGCCGCCCGUCGCGAGGCGGACGGAGGGAUGGAUGAGGUUACCUGGAAAAAAUCGGGGCGAUCUAGGCGGGCGAACCUCGCCAACGAACGAUCGGACAUGGGAUAACGGAAGAGGGCGUCGGCUCGACUUCGUCGGUUCCUCGGGCCGAGGCACGUACGGUGAAUAGGGACGGUCGGGGCCGCCCGUACCGGGUCGUGAGAGGUGAAAUUCUAGGAUCGACCCGAGACGAACCGCCGCGAAAGCAUUCGGCAAGGACGCUUUCAUUAAUCAAGAACGAAAGUCGGGG